rnacentral:lncRNA from 1 species
ACAAUUCCAUCUCAGAUUGUCGGCAGAUUUGGAGUUUGUAAAUUAAAUUAUAGUAACUUAAAAUUUUAUAUUUCCUAUAACAUAGAAAAAAUAUUCAUCUAAAUGGUCAAUAUAAUCACAAAUAGAUAAAAUACAUGAGUUAAGAAGUGAAAAUAGUUUUGGGAUAUGAAAUUAGGGGGGGCUAAUGGGCAAUCGAUCGCCAGGACGAUCGCCCAGCGAUCGGAUCCGGCCCCCCCUCCCCCUAUACUCCUCCCUCUUCUCCCCCUUCCUCCUCCCCUUCUCCUCUUUCUACUACAGUAGACCACACAAAUUUUUUUGAAAAAUAAAAGUUAGAAAAAUUUAUGUAUAGAAAUACUAUAUAUAAAAAAUUUGAAUUCAAAUUCAAAUUUGAAUCGGGUAUGUAAACUUUUGACUUAUAAACUUUGGGUCUAUAAACUUUAGGUGUAUAAACUUUAGAUGUAUAGAAAUACUAUAUAUAGAAAUAUUUGAAUUCAAAUUCAAAUUUGAAUCAGAUAUAAUUCAAAUUCAAAUUUGAAUCAGAUAUAAUUCAAAUUCAAAUUUGAAUCGGGUAUAUAAACUUUAGGUCUAUAAACUUUAGGUGUAUAAACUUUAGAUGUAUAGAAAUACUAUAUAUGAAAAAUAUUUGAAUUCAAAUUCAAAUUUGAAACGGGUAUAUAAACUUUUGACUUAUAAACUUUAGGUCUAUAAACUUUAGAUGUAUAAACUUUAGAUGUAUAUAAAUACUAUAUAUAAAAAAAUAUUUGAAUUCAAAUUCAAAUUUGAAUCGGAUAUAUAAACUUUUGGUCUCUAAAUUUUAGAUGUGUAAACUUUAGGUGUAUAAAUUUACUAAAAUAGGAAAAUAAUGUGGUGCCAAAAAAGGAAACCAGGUGGAGAGGUGGAGGGAGGGAAGGGGGGGUUGGAAAACUGAUCGCCCUGGGAGAGCGAGGGCAAUCGCUCGCCCAGUAGCAUUUCCGAUGAAAUUAUGCCAAGAUGAGUCUUUGACUUAGGUUAUCUAUAAAGUUGUUGAAAUUGUGAUUCCAAGUCGAAAGUUAUACGUAAAAUCAUAAUCUUAGAAUCCUGUAAAAAGAAUCAUAAAAUCGUAGAUUCGCAUCUUAGGCCAUGUUUGUCACAACACUAUAUUAUGAUUCGUGAAGCCAUGUAUUUCUAACUUUGUAAAUCCAUUGAUAUAGAUAUGUAACAUUUGAAUAAAUCAUAAAAUUAUUAACCACUUUAAUUCAAUUUAUAAAGUCUAAAUCCAGUGUGAAUAUAUCUAAGGUCCGAAAAUGUGCCAAAUAAUUAGAAUCAUAAAAUCAUAUGUAAAAAUUAAGAUUUUAAUAAGAGAAAAUAUAAAACAUACCAUUUACAAGUGUCCAAUUAAUUUCAAUAAAUACCAUCGACAAAUUCGAGAUACAUAAAAUGUCAUCGUAAAGCGACUUUGUGAAAAAAAAAUACCAUAAUCGUUAGGGUUCCAUCCAUCUUGAUCCCGCGAAAUACAUGUUCAUCCUAAAGAUGAUAGUAUUUUUUUAGUAAAGUCACAUGUAACGUUACUAUUUUGAAACUCGUACUUUUUUAUGAUAUUUUCUAAAAUUGGACAAGUAUUUCUUGGAUUUUCUACCUUAUUACUCUCUUCGUCCCAAAUUAUAAGACCUAUAUUUUUUUACACGGUCUUCAAUAACAUACUAUUAAUUUAUCUCAUAUUAUAUUUCCAACAAAUAUGAUAUUAGCAUCACUUGAAAGUACUUUAAAAUUUGAAUACAGUGAUAUAACAUAUAUAAUAUUUAGCAUAUACUCCCUUUGUCCCUAAACAUUUGAUGCCGUUGACUUUAAACAUGUUUGAUUAUUCGUUUUAUUAAAAACUUUUGUGAGAUAUGUAAAACUAUAUGUAUACAUAAAAGUAUAUUUAAAAAUAAAUUAAAUGAUAGGGAAAAAAUUAAUAAUUACUUAAUUUUUUUGAAUAAUACGAACGGUCAAACAUGUUUAGAAAAAUUAACGACAUCAAAUAUUUAAUGACGGAGGGAGUUAUUAUUAUUUAUUUUUCUUAAAAAAAGGGUGUCCUGUAAUGGUAAUUUGGGACGGAGGGAGUUAUUAUUAUCUGCGAUGAUGGUCCGUUUACAACAUUGACCAAAAAAUCAUCAUCGGUUUUGUUUUUUCACGCAACGUGCAAACCUAACCCACACUCCUCCUCCCUCUGCGCCUUGGCACCAUAUCCCUCCACGAUCGCCUUCCCUUCUCCUCUCCCGCCGCCGCCGCCGAUUCGAUCUCCAUCCCGCGCCGCCGCCGCUGCUUCCGCCGCAUCCUCCCUCCCUGGUGAGCAGUCCACCCGUUACGCGCAUCCUCAUCCUCAUCCCCUUCUCUCUCUAGACUAGAUUUGCUUGCAUCCAGCCCUAAGAUUCUAGAUCUGAAGUCCCCCCAUGUACCAUGUGCUGAUGGAUUGGAUUGCUUUGGUUUGAUGCGUGGUGUACUAUGUACUACUAGUAAACUGAUGAUAGCAGUAGCAGCUUUUCAAUUUUUAUUUAUUUUGUUUAGUUUGGUGAGGGUUAACCUGAUUCUCAUGUUGGAGUGAUUUUCUUGAUGAUCAGAUUUGUGGAUAUGGCUGAUAACGACAAGGAGGCGGCGGGAGAGGGAGCAACUCCCCGUGGAGCGGACUGGGAGGUGGUGACUCUUACUGCGUCCGCCUAUGCGGCGGCGCCGGGGCCGGGUGGAGCAGGAGACAGGCCGGCGGCUGAGACCAAAGGCCUUGAUGCAAGUCAGGAAGGAGACCAGACCAAAGGCCUUGAUGGAAGUCAGGAAGGGCGGGGCUCGGAGAGCGCGCUGUUCAUGUCUGGCCACUUUGUGUUCCCUCCAAGCGAGCAUGAGAAUCUGCCGAUCGAUGCCGGCUUUGAUGACAUCCAGCAUAAGAAGGAUGCGCAGGAAGCGAGCACGAGCGUGGAAGACGAGGGUUUCAAGAAUGUCGGUGGGAACUAUGGUGCUGGGUUGGAGAGGAUUCAGUUCUAUGAUGAAGGAAGGAACCUCUCGGCCAAUGAUGUAGAGAUGAUGAUGGGUGAUGCUGCUGAGCAUGGCUCGUUUCAUGCUCAGGACGAGGAGCAAGGUUUAGAUGAUGAUAAUGAUUUUGAUGACUCUCAUGACAAAUCAGAUCUGCCCUCAGAAUCUGCGGACAGCAAAAGCCGUGAUUCUGGCGCCCCUUGCAAAUGCUGGCUGAAGAAACAUAUGUCAUGCCUGUAUCACCAAGCCAAGGAAACAAAUGCUCUCUGGUCUGUGGUGGUUGCAGCUGCUCUUGUCGGGCUCGUAAUCUUGGGACGCUGGCACAAAGACAAACUGCACCUUAAGAAUCUUAAAUGGCGAUCUGGCUCAACAGUGAGGUAUAUUAAGAUCUUGUUGGCUUUUCAGUUUUGACAUAUAACACAUCUCUUCAUUUGUUAGUUUAUUGUGCGGUUCAGAAACACACACACAUUACCUUAUUACCUUAAGUAUGGUGACCUGUUUGCAUUUUAGUGGCUUAGUGUGUGGACACUGGCAUACUCUGUUCCUAGCAUUCUUGCAUUUUGCAUGACAUUAUCUUUGCCACAUAAUGUUACUUUUAGGUUUUAGCAAUUCUGGCUAGAUCUAUUUUGUUAUUUCUUACUCAAUUAUGGACCUUAUGGCUCUUCUAAAGCUUCUUUUGAGUUUUGAUAUGGCUCUUGAGCAGUUAAAUGCUUUAUCGAGACACCACACCUUUCCCCAAUUAGAUGCGAUCGUUAAUUUCCUUUCUGCCCAAAAUAUUGCAUUUAUGUGUAUACUUACUGCUCCCUGGUUAUAAACAGAGAGAUUGUUGGGAUUAAUCAAAUUAGCAUACACCAUUGCAAAAGUCAUGGUAGACUAGUUAGGCCUUAUGAAGGCUAUGAUAAUUUGAAUGGUAGUAGGAUGUUUUAACUGCUUUUAUAUGCUUGUUCUAUCCGUGUGAUUACUGAUUAAGAGUACAACAAUUAUAAUCAUGUUGCAUUGUGAUAUCAGCAUGGCUUAUCCACGUAAUCUAAUAGAACAUAGUUGUACAGGAUUCAGGUCGCACUCUGAUUUGGGUAUAAAUAAACUAAUAAACUUGAAAAGUUUUUGUAUGAAUUUAAUAUGUAUGAUGACUUAUUGCUACCUUUUGAAGUUUGUUUACUUAUAAAGUUAUGAAGCUCUAUAUUAUAGAACAAUAGUCUACGAUCUUCAACUAUUCAUGCUGCCAUUUGGGGGUAGUAUGACCCAUCUGUAGCUCUUUAUCAAAUCUGGGUUUCUCUGGCUUUAUGUUAGAAUUUAGCAUAUGAUUAUUGACAUGUCACUUGCAUGGAUUUGGGAUUUUGGGUAUCUAUAUUAAGCCUAAAUGCAUAGAUAUUUUGACCCAAACAUGCUCUAAUGGAAAAUAAUAAUCUAUAUCAGCAUCUUGUACUUGUUAAUUUGUGUGAAACUAUAUAUGUUUUCUAGUUCUAUAGUACAUAUGAAAACCGGCUUUUUUAUGAGCUAUUAUGAAUGGUUGGAACAUGAUCAACUCUUUUGUUGUAACUGGACUAGACAAUGCUUGACUGGUUACAGUUCACAACGUACAUAAAUUUGGUAUGCCUACUCAUAUUAUGUAUAAGUGGUUAGGUUUUUCAUAUAAAGUGUUGGAUGCUAUCUUAGUGCUUCUGAUAUAAAGGUGGUUCAUCAUGAUUAUAGUGUCACAUACUGAUCUUCUGUUAAAUCAUCGAAUUGUACUCCUAAUAUCAUAUGACAAUAACACAUUUCUACACCUCAUCAUUUUGCUUUUUAAAUGCCCAAUGCUGGAAAGACAUGUUACUUACUACCUCUGUCCCAAAAAGCCAGAAAUAAAGUCUGGGGGGGAUAGUUUUUUAACCUGUAACAGUAGCUAAACAGGUUAAAUCAUUUUUGGUAAGUUCCUUGUCCUUUGCAAAGUAACUUCAUCGGUAAUUAGCUUGUUUUAUUGUGAUACGGAUGACAAUAGGUUGGAGACUGGAACAUUUGUGUACUUAGCACCAAUGCAUAAACUAUUGAAUCUAUGACAUUAAACUUCCUUUCUAAAGGGCUUUCCCAGUCAACUAGGAUGCUUUGUUAUGUGAUAGGAACACCUCUUCAUACUGUCCAAUUCCUCAUAGUUUUGUCUCUGAUGUCAACCAGACGUAUGGCCAUGGUAUCAGUUUGUAGUUUCUACUAGUGAGUGCAAUUCUGUAUAUUAGUUUACCAUCUGGAAUCUACAUCUAAGAUUAAAAAAAAAUCAUUUCAAGUAUCAGUCAAGCUCAUCUACUCCCAACCCCUAAUUAAAAUCAACAUUUGACUCAUUUCUUCCUUUUCCCAAUCCAAAAUAUUUUCAUUAUUCUUUGUCAUCAUGUUUGGAACAAAGCAUAUGCACCGAAAGAAUGGUGGUGAUGAUGAGGUCUUUGAUGGAGGCUUCCUUGUCAUCGCUUUACCCUCCAUGAACUGCUAAGGGCCUGUUUGGCACAGCUCCAGCUCCAGCUCCACCUCUCCUGGAGCUGGAGCUCAGCCAAACAGCUUUAGCUCCACCAAAAAUGGGAGCGGAGUUAGGUGGAGCUCUCUCACAAAAUGAACUAGAGAGGUGGAGCUGGGUUUAGGCAGCUACACAACUUUACUCCGGACUCAACUCCAGGAGCUAAAUUUAGGAGUUGGAGCUCUACCAAACAGGCCCUAAGCUGGCUAAUUUUACUGUCUGUAGUUGAGAAUGGUGUCUGUUCCUUUGGCAGAGGAUGGUACUAGUGCUGCCAAUUAGAGAUUGUUACAAUUUGGGUUGAAGGGAUUAUGUUGCUUUAACAUUUGCAACUUUGUAAAUGACAUUGUUUAUGAAUCAAUACAAGGAUAUUUUGUCGUGUGCUAUAGAACAUAUAUCACAUUUGGCCCUAUUAAAACCUCAAGCUAGCAAGUACUGUGAUAAAUUUGUGGUUUUACCCCUGCCCUACUGUGAUGUGAAGCAUUUGUUUUUUGUGUGAAGGUUCCAUUGUGAAGAAAUUUAUGUGUUCUGUUUGGUGCUGCAUAGGUUUAUUUCCUAUUAGCUUAUCACUCCUUAUUGUAUCAUUACUUGUUUGACACUCUUGUUUUAAUUUCAAGAACACUUGUCUUUAGGCCAACAUGUCUUAGAAGCCCAAGACAUGAAAGAAAUAAUUAUUGAAGCCAAUUUAUUAUUAUGUUGCAUCUUCUAGCUUUAGGCCUGAAUGCACCUGAUUUUGAUUCUAAGUUUCUUACUGCCAUGAAUAGACGAUGUUAGGAAU